rnacentral:rRNA from 1 species
CAGGUGUAGCAAUACAUGCUGACGAGCGGCGAACGGGUGAGUAAUGCUUUGGAAUCUUCCCAGUAGUGGGGAAUAACCAGUCGAAAGAUUGGCUAAUACCGCAUACGUCUGUAAAGGGAAAGCGGGGGCUCGUAAGACCUCGCGCUAUUGGAUGAGCCAAAGUCGGAUUAGCUAGUUGGUGGGGUAAUGGCCUACCAAGGCGACAAUCCGUAGCUGGUCUGAGAGGACGACCAGCCACACCGGAACUGAGACACGGUCCGGACUCCUACGGGAGGCAGCAGUGGGGAAUAUUGGACAAUGGGGGAAACCCUGAUCCAGCGACGCCGCGUGUGUGAAGAAGGCCUGCGGG